rnacentral:rRNA from 1 species
GGGUUGUGAGGUUAAGCGACCAAGCGUACACGGUGGAUGCCCUGGCAGUCAGAGGCGAUGAAGGACGUGCUAAUCUGCGAAAAGCGCCGGUAAGGUGAUAUGAACCGUUAUAACCGGCGAUGUCCGAAUGGGGAAACCCAGUGUGACUCGUCACACUAUCAUUAACUGAAUCCAUAGGUUAAUGAGGCGAACCGGGGGAACUGAAACAUCUAAGUACCCCGAGGAAAAGAAAUCAACCGAGAUUCCCCCAGUAGCGGCGAGCGAACGGGGAGGAGCCCAGAGCCUGAAUCAGUAUGUGUGUUAGUGGAAGCGUCUGGAAAGGCGCGCGAUACAGGGUGACAGCCCCGUACACAAAAGCGCAUGUGCUGUGAGCUCGAUGAGUAGGGCGGGACACGUGGUAUCCUGUCUGAAUAUGGGGGGACCAUCCUCCAAGGCUAAAUACUCCUGACUGACCGAUAGUGAACCAGUACCGUGAGGGAAAGGCGAAAAGAACCCCGGCGAGGGGAGUGAAACAGAACCUGAAACCGUGUACGUACAAGCAGUGGGAGCAUGAGUUUACUC